AUCGCCAUCUGUCUUCCAGUGUUCGAAUCACGGGAUCCAGUCGUGUUGGUAUUCACCAGAAUGAGAAAAGGGAUUCGUUUUCCCCCGUAUGGCGGAAUCAAUGGUGCCAUAUGUAUGGAUGGCAUGUGUAUAGAUGGCAGCAUUGAUUCAGAAUUAGUGGUAAUAAAUCGUCGCAACUAUACAUCUGGGUCACGGACUGACUUAUCAUUGUAACAUAAUUUUAUCGAGGCACGGAACGGCAGAUCAUCUGAUUGGCUUGAAAUGAAAACGGAGAUAGAUACCAAGCGUUCCACUAUUUUAUUAGAAUUCAUAGAUAUAAAAGUGAUAAUAUUAAGCAAAUGGCUGGUGGGCAGCAGCAAGAAUGGUUGUAAACUUAUCUAUCCUGUCUCCUAUCCUAAUGAAACAUAAAAGCACGAAAGUGAAAAAGCACGUUAAAAAAGCGAUUCACUACGUUUCACAAUUAAGUUUCGGAAUUAAAUUGAAUAAUAAACUUCCAUAAGUGUAUAAAUGUAAUAAUAAUAUAAAACAUUUAAAAAAA